GACUGGCCACAUCUGCAGCCCAGAGGUUGAACAAUUUGCUAUAGCCAUAUGAUCACGGCUGCUGUAAAGCACCCUUUUUUGGCCCACACAGCAUGGUCAUCCUUUCUGAAGACAAGUGCGUAAGUGGGGAAGGACUCUCAAACAACAUUACUGCUUCUGCCCAGAAAUAAAAAUGAACAUGUGUGGAUGUGAGACUUCUGUUCCAGUUAUGGAAAUUAUUACCAGGAA